rnacentral:rRNA from 1 species
UCGAGAAUCUUCCGCAAUGGGCGAAAGCCUGACGGAGCGACAUUACGUGAAUGAUGAAGCCCUUCGGGGUGUAAAGUUCUUUUAUGGGGGAAAAAGUUAUUGAUUGUACCCCAUGAAUAAGAGGAUCCUAAUUCUGUGCCAGCAGGAGCGGUAAUACAGAAUCCUCGAGCGUUACCCGGAUUUAUUGGGCGUAAAGGGUUCGUAGGUGGUAGGGUAAGUUGAAAGUUAAAAUUCAUCGGCUCAACCUUUGAGGUGCUUUCAAUACUGCCAUACUAAGAGGGCGUUAGGGGCUAACGGAACCGACGGAGUAGGGGUGAAAUCCGUUGAUAUCGUCGGGAACACCAAAAGCGAAGGCAGUUAGCUAGAACGACCCUGACACUGAGGAACGAAAGCGUGGGGA